rnacentral:rRNA from 1 species
GACGAACGCUGGCGGCGUGCUUAACACAUGCAAGUCGAACGCUGAAACCAGAGCUUGCUUUGGUAGAUGAGUGGCGAACGGGUGAGUAACACGUGGGUGAUCUGCCCUACACUUUGGGAUAAGCCUGGGAAACUGGGUCUAAUACCGAAUAUUCACACCACCGUAGGGGUGGUGUGGAAAGCUUUAUGCGGUGUGGGAUGAGCCUGCGGCCUAUCAGCUUGUUGGUGGGGUAAUGGCCUACCAAGGCGUCGACGGGUAGCCGGCCUGAGAGGGUGUACGGCCACAUUGGGACUGAGACACGGCCCAGACUCCUACGGGAGGCAGCAGUGGGGAAUAUUGCACAAUGGGCGCAAGCCUGAUGCAGCGACGCCGCGUGGGGGAUGACGGCCUUCGGGUUGUAAACUCCUUUCGCUAGGGACGAAGCCUUAUGGUGACGGUACCUGGAGAAGAAGCACCGGCUAACUAC